AAGUCGUAACAAGGUUUCCGUAGGUGAACCUGCGGAAGGAUCAUUAAUGUAAAUGAUGGCAACGACCCCUAAACAAGGUCCGAGCCAAUCAAACCACUGUUGAACGUCCUGCCUUCUGGUCGCCCCUAAACAAGGCGGCCAAAGGAUUAUUGUAUUAUAAACCACUUGUUGAAAAUGUUGAAACAAAUUGUAAUCUAAUUACAACUUUUAACAAUGGAUCUCUUGGCUCCU
rnacentral:misc_RNA from 1 species